UACGUAGGGUGCAAGCGUUAAUCGGAAUUACUGGGCGUAAAGCGUGCGCAGGCGGUUUUGUAAGUCUGUUGUGAAAGCCCCGGGCUUAACCUGGGAAUGGCCAUGGAAACUGGCGAACUGGAGUGUGGCAGAGGGGGUGGAAUUCCGCGUGUAGCAGUGAAAUGCGUAGAGAUGCGGAGGAACACCGAUGGCGAAGGCAGCCCCCUGGGCUAGCACUGACGCUCAGGCACGAAAGCGUGGGGAGCAAACAGG
rnacentral:rRNA from 1 species